rnacentral:tRNA from 1 species
GGGGUGUUAGCUCAGUUGGGAGAGCGCCUGAUUUGCAAUCAGAAGGUCGCAGGUUCAAUUCCUGUACGCUCCACUA